rnacentral:rRNA from 1 species
UGCCAGCCGCCGCGGUAAUACGAAGGGGGCUAGCGUUGUUCGGAAUUACUGGGCGUAAAGCGCACGUAGGCGGAUCGUUAAGUGAGGGGUGAAAUCCCGGGGCUCAACCCCGGAACUGCCUCUAAUACUGCUAGUCUUGAGUUCGAGAGAGGUGAGUGGAAUUCCGAGUGUAGAGGUGAAAUUCGCAGAUAUUCGGAGGAACACCAGUGGCGAAGGCGGCUCACUGGCUCGAUACUGACGCUGAGGUGCGAAAGCGUGGGGAGCAAACAGGAUUAGAUA